AUUGAACGCUGGCGGCAUGCUUUACACAUGCAAGUCGAACGGUAACAGGCCUUCGGGUGCUGACGAGUGGCGAACGGGUGAGUAAUGCAUCGGAACGUACCCAGAGGUGGGGGAUAACGCAGCGAAAGCUGUGCUAAUACCGCAUGUGAUCUGAGGAUGAAAGCGGGGGACCGAGCAGCAAUGUUUGGCCUCGCGCCUUUGGAGCGGCCGAUGUCGGAUUAGCUAGUUGGGGGGGUAAAGGCCUACCAAGGCGACGAUCCGUAGCUGGUCUGAGAGGACGACCAGCCACACUAGGACUGAGACACGGCCCAGACUCCUACGGGAGGCCGCAGUGGGGAAUGUUGGACAGUGGGCGCGAGCCUGAUCCAGCAAUGCCGCGUGCGGGAAGAAGGCCUUCGGGUUGUAAACCGCUUUUGGCAGGAACGAAACGGUGUCCGCUAAUACCGGGCGCUAAUGACGGUACCUGCAGAAUAAGCACCGGCUAACUACGUG
rnacentral:rRNA from 1 species